GCUCCUCCGUCCUCCCGAUAUGUUUGGAAGUUGAUGCGGAGCGGACGCCGUGAUGCGCCAGAACUCGCCUCCUCAGCGAAUGAGCGCGUCGCUGUCGCCAGCGCUUCUCUCCGCCCCUUCGCCGCUGCCGCUGAUAACUGUUCUUUUCAGACUCCAGCACAUUAAUCGUGCUUGGACGCCCUGUUGCCAGGCUUGUGGUACAGAUUCUUUCCUGGACAGUAUUUUGGACAAAGCCACAAACCAGAUCAAAUGUGCGUGCUGUUGUCUGCCAGACCUGCAGCUCCGGCCUCACUGCUGUGUCCAGGUCACCUACAGCCUUCAGACCAGAAAACAAGUCACACGCCUGUGGGUAAACUGCUUUCCACUGCUAUUUCUACAUCAUGUUAUAUUCAAAAGGCUUCUGAACUUCAGUGGAUGUAAUUACAUAAGCAAAAACAGCACAUAAACUGAAACGAGAGAAAGUGUAAAGUGUUUCUACUGAAAUAGGUUUUUCCAGUCUGUGUAAAUGAACAGUGGUACUGAACAAAAGGGGCUGUGAGCUGUAGCUGUAUGGGCACGUUUUACUGGUUCUGCAGCUAAAAUGUCAUAGUGAGUGACUUUUCUCCCACUUGUGGCCUGAAUGAAAAGCUGCAACCUUAGACUGCAACCAGAAAGACAGGGUGCCUCUCUGCAGCACAGAACACAGCAUUUAGGUAUUAGGACACUCGGCACCCGGGUCCUUUGGGAGUUUAACUACGAAACGGUGCAUUUCUCCAAAAUUAUAAAAAUACUAAUAUGUUCUUUAAUAGUUGAUUUUCUUCUCUUGUUGGUUUCGUCUAAAUCAA